ACAAACGACCCCCACUCCAUUUCAUUUUUCAUUUCCCCAUCUUCUUCAACCCUAAUUAGAGCCACCACCCCCAAAUAACACCUCCCAGACCAUCGUCCUCUCCACGCCUCCCAACCCCGUCUUCUUCGUUUCCCCACCCAACAAAUGACCUCAACCAGUGGCGCCACAACUCCCUCCUCCAUCUCCAACCACGAACCAGACGACUCCACCCAGCCUCGUCGCCGAACAGCCACCAAAUUCGCGGCGUGUUCAGCCUGAAAAUCACGCACACACACACGUAAACAUAGGGAGAGAACAAGAGCGAAAGAGAUGAACUAAUUUUCUCAUCUCUAAUCCACAUAGAGGAAACGGACAGAAACAGGGGCAGGGUUAGCAUUUCUCUUUGCUUUAUGGAUUGUUUACGUUGCUUUAACCUUGCCGCGAGACUAGCUUGUGCGUUCACUAGUGACGAGAUGGAGUUUGUUUGAGUCAAAGUUGAAUUUGCUAAUUUUGAGUCGCUGUCGAGGUUCGGAGUCACAUUUCGCAGAAUCGUUAUUUCCGGUUUGAGGUCCGUGUUGCAUCUGUGGUUCAAAUUUCAGUUAUGUCACUUGUUGUAGCCAUGUUGGCGUCCAGAAGUUGUGAAGUUGAAAACUCUCAUUAAUUGGCAACACUAGGUUCAAUUCUUUCCUAUCUCUUUUAAUUUCAUAUACAUGGUUUUGAUGAUUGAGUUGAUAUGGUUUAAUUUGUGCAUAAGUUUGAAUCUGUAUAGCAAUAGAUGGGUUUUGGUUGCUCUGUAAAGGAAAAUGUCCUCUUCUUACUUUACUGUCAUGUUGUAAAUAUGGAUGUUUACCUUAUAGUGCAAAGGUAGAAUUGCAAUCUUCAUGUUCUAAUUGAUUUAGGAAAAUCAAGUUAGAUACCGUAAAGAUAAGACUUGCGCCAUUAGUAUUCCAAAUGAUAUUCAAAUUAAGUUGCUGGCCAAAUACUUGUUAUAGGAAAUGUUGGAGUAUUUUAUGUCUUUUCCUAGAACAUGUUUUCUGGACAGUUUACACCCUUACUGCACAAAUGCUGGUGGAUUAAAUGUAGUUAAAAAGCUGCAGUUAUAGAUUUUUUUUUCUUUCGUAGUUGCUCUCUGCGGAUUUGAAGUUGUUCAUUUAGCUAUUUGCCCGUAUGUUUGCUCGAAUUAGUUAUAGCUGGACAUAAUGGUUUGUUAUUCAUCAACUGAUUUUUAAUAACAACACUAGGAUAGUGUGUCACUAAUUCAGCAAGUAGACAAUUAAAAAAUGGAAAAGGAGAUUGGUAAUGGAAGUUGCACUAACUAAUUAAUUAAUAAGGGAAGGGACACUUGUAAUGAGAAAGGCACUGGUUGAUUUUAGGGGAUUGAAAUGGGCAUUAGUAGUAAAAUAAGAAGGCACUAGGGUAGUGGGGUAAUUAAAAACUGAAAAGAUAAGUUGUUAGUGGCAAAUGCACUAAUGGAAUGCCCACUUUAGAGAGCUGGAAAUCAGAAUAAAAGGGAGGUAGAACACAAGAAAGAGGAGGAUCUGAAAUUGUAAGAAAAAAAACCUCAAAAAUAGAGAGGUCAAGGGAGCUUAACAAUCUGACGGAGAGCAAUAGAGAGGGACAACCUUGUACAGUUUGAAAACCUGAGUGAGGAAGUUGAGAAAUCCAGAAGAAAUGAUAUAAAAGUAUAGAAAACUGUAUUGUUGGUUUAAGUUUGAUCGUCUGAUCUCUCUUAACUCACUCUUCUUGAACUAUUUUCAUCAAUUUGAAGAGCUAAAUUUAGUUUGCAUUCAAGUAAUUGGACCCUGCUUGGUGUGGUUUUGUUGAUUGUGUUCCAUUGAUAUACUAUUGGUUCUAAAUUGUGAGUUUUAAGUUGGUCCUCUUUAGUCAUUUGUGCUUGCUGAACACUGAUUCUUGUUGCUGCUGAGUCUGCUAAAUCUCACCCCCCCCCUAUUUGUUUUCCUCUUUCCAGGUAUAUCUUGAUCUUAUGGAUAUCAUUUGAGGUAUAAACUUGAAUCAUGAAUUAAGAAUGAGAAAGCUAGUCUACACCCUUUCUUCUUUUAAUAUACUAUCACUGUGUUCUUUUGAGUUUUCAAUUAGUAUAUUCUGCCCAAAAGAGGGUUUGUAAUUAAGAGUUAAAUCACAUAGUUUUGUGUAAUUACUUUCCUCUUUAUUGUGACUGUUGGACGCUGUAGCUAUUCUAUAAACUCGUUGUUUUAGAGUUUUGUUCAAUCAAGUAUUCUGCUUAAAUCUUAUGAGUUUAGGAAAUGAAUGAAUAUUUUCAUGAUGGUAUGAUUGUUGUAGUGAAGUUAAGUUGUGGUUUAUGGUUUCAUUUCAUUUUCUUGUUAAUGGAUUUAUCAUGCUAUCCAUGGGUCUCCCUCUUUUAAUUUUAUUUGGUCUAAUAUUGCUUGUUUGUUGCAUUGAAGUACCGCAUCCAAGGUGAAAAGAAUGACUUUUUCCUAUAUAUUUUUUAUUUGACUAGUACAUGAGAUUUAAUAUUUUCAAGAAAUAUUUAAAUAUUGAUGGCAUGAAUUUCAGUGGACAAAACUCACUUCUCACCAUUGUAAACCGAUAUAUUUUCAUGGCAACCACAAGAAUCUGUUCUCAUGUGAAAAAAGGGAUUGGCAAAACUAAGAAGAAAGAAAGGAUUGAAGUUGUAUAGAGGUGAUUAAAAGCCUAGUCUCAUUUCUUUCUAUUUUUGGGUCAAAAAUAGUACGUACCAACUACUAGAAGAUUUUGUAUAUUAAUUUUUCUUUUAUUUUUAUUUUUUGACAUAUAACUUAGUUUAAUCCCAAUAAAAGCUUUUUCUUCCACUAAAAAAAACCCUUAUUCCCAAGCCGCUUUAUUAAGAUUGGGUAAGUAUUUUAUGCAAUACUAUAUAGAGUGUGCCGAUUUUGUUUAGAUGAUGGUCCGAAUUCGUCUAUUUAUUCUGACCAGAUAAAGAUUAUUGCAUGAAAUAUCUUGCACCAUAUUUGCUUAAACGAAUCAUGUAUUGCUUAGGCAAGGAGCAAAUCAUGAAUAUCGUAGUUUGCUCGAGGCGCGCCAUACUAAUUAAGAAAUAACGAAAUCUUGGCCCUCGUUUUUAGUCAAAGUGUCGUUUAAUCCUUAGAAUUUGAGGUGUGUCAUUUAGUAAAUUUCAUGACCCUCGUAAAUUGCAAACGUGUUAGUAUCAUUAGGCGCGUUUUUAAUAAUAUUACUUUCCUAAACUUGGGUGCGCAUUUAUGCGACCUAAAUCCAAAUCUCAACGGAGUCGAAACGUAUUAACAACCACGAGUACAUUGAUUGUGAUGUGGUUCGAGAUGCAUUUUUACGACGUUGCAAUUCUAUUAAAAAUAAUAAUAAAAGCGGUUUAAACUUAAUAAAAGCACACAAGAUAUAACGUGUAUAAAAAUCAGAUAUUUAGCCAUUACAACAAUUUAAGCGACCGUGCUAGAACCACGGGAUUCGGGGGUGCCUAACACCUUCCCUCGGGUCAACAGAAUUCCUUACUUAGAAUUUCUGGUUCGCAGACUUCAUUCGGAAAGUCGAAUAUUUUUCUCAAAUUGGGAUUCAAGAUAAACCGGCGAAUUGGGACACUAAAAGCCAAACCUUUCCCAAGUGGCGACUCUGAAAAAAAUAAAUAAUCCCAUUUUCGAAUAAUAUCACUUAAAUUGAAAAAACUCUCUUAUAUCACCCUCGGGUGUGUAAAAAGGAGGUGUGACCCUUUUUUAUCUCUCUCUGCUCCAAAAAUCCUUCAGCAAGCGAUAAAACUUCCAAAUUACGGACGGGAAUUGCUUCGUCCUUUGGAAAACUCGCAAGGUGAAUCAAGCACGACUUUAAGGGAUCAGGUAUUUCAUAACUUAAUGCUAUAAUCUUCAUCACGUCCUCUUCUUUCUGGAAAAUAAAGGAAUUCAAAUUAUUUCGAACUUCAACCCAUACACUCCUUUUCUUUUCCUUCCCUGCAAUGACUCCAGCAAUCAAAUCAACCACCAAAGGAAGCCGUUUACAGUUUUGGACUAUCUCUUCUCCAACAUCCAGUAGUUCAUCAGGGCAACUUUCUUUUCCAAAGACCUUUUUCUCUAAUAACUCCCAACUUUCUUCUAGGUUUAGCAAUCGAAGGUCAAUAGGAUCACUGUGGCGUUGUGCAUGCACAGCCACUUUCUUUUCUCGAGUCGUCAAAAUAAUUCGACUUCCUUUCUCAACUCCAGGAAAAGGCCUUGUCAACUCAUCCCAUGCUGUAGUGUCCCACAAAUCAUCUAAGACUAUAAGGUACCUCUUUCCAAACAAAUGUUUCCGUAGCUUAUCAGCAACAUCAAUAUUCUCACCGAAUUUCAAAGCUGAGCCAACAACUUGAUUAAAAAGUUUUUCCAGUAACGCCAUCUCGUCAUACUUUUGAUCGACUGUACACCAUGCACGGAUGUCAAAAUGACUAGAAACUGACUUAUCAUUAUACACUUUGUACGCUCCAUGUAGUUUUACCCGAACCGGGCAUGCCAGUGAUCGAAAUGACAUCUAGCGUUUUUUGUCCACUGGUGAGCUUCCUAAUUAUCAAGGAUGUCUCCUCUUUAAAACCUACGAUUAUUUUACUAGGUAUUGAUGACUUGCGCUCAACUAGCUUGUUGGGAGAGUUCACAACAAUGACGCCCAUGUUCUCGGGAUUCUUCUCAAAUAAAUUUAAGACCCCUUCUUUGAUAAGAUUGAUCUUUUCUAAGGAAAAGGAAAGUGAGAAAAUAAGAUGUAAGAGACCAUUGUCUCUUACAAUAAUUGAAUCAAUGACAUAUUUUGUCUCAUAUGCCACAUCUAAAACACGUGCCCAGAGAUCUUUAUAGAAUUCCUGCUCAACAUUCUCGAAGAAAGAUCUUAUGAAUUCUAGAUUUUCUUUCACCAGCCCGAUUUCUUCCUUUAUCAAAUCAACUAAAUAAGUAUUGGAAUUGAGCAAAUCAUUUAAGUGUCUAAGUAGAAGAUGCAUGAACAUGGAUCCAUCACUCAUGGGAAAGCAGAGUUGAGAUGAGUUCGGGGCUUUCAAGUAAACAUCUUUGAGUUCUCUCUUCAGGAGUUCAAUAUUUUUGAGAAAGACUAGAGUUGCACCGUUUGUUUCAUUGGUACUCUUUGCAUUCUUUGAUUUCUCUUCUAAGUCGCGACCAAUAGCUGAUACGUCCCAGGUAAGUGCUCCGACACGCGCUAGGAAUUUAAACAACUUGCCAUUAUGAAUAAAGUCCUUAGGCACAUCAGUGAGAAUGAUUAAUAGGAACUCUAUCAUGAUAUGAAUGUUUCGAGCCCCUAGAGUGUUAGCGGUAAUAACAUUUAUCAAGUGCUCUUGUAGAUGAAUCAUAUAUUCUUUAAGAAUAUCCGGAGAGGUUUUUAGGAGCUUCUUAAUAAAGUGUCCAACUUUUGAUGAUGUUGAAGCUUUCAAAUUUGUAAGACAUAUUUGCAUAACCUCCAGCUGAGUUGGAAUAAUCUCCAAGAAUAGAUGUGCUAGCUUGACGAGUCGAAAGUGUCCACCAAUUUGAUUAUGUCAUAGGAAGCGUCGUACUCUCUCAGCCAUUAGUUGAAACUGAGGUAAGACAUAUUCAAAAAUUCAUUCCCAACACAACCAUUCACUAUCAACUCGUAGAAAUGUCUUAUGCUGCCACAUGCAUUCUGAAGAAUCUCAUAUUCUAUCAUGAAUGGAGAACGUUGUUCAGCAUGAUACUUGGAAAGAUGAUGGAGAUUCAGAAGGAGGAAGUCCAACUCCAAUAUCAGCUUUUCAGUUAGAUCCACGUCAACGGCUUU
rnacentral:lncRNA from 1 species